rnacentral:lncRNA from 1 species
GAAUUGUAAGACUUAAUUAUUCAAACCAUUCAUCUGUCUUAAUUAUUUUUACUACUCCAUUAUAUUCCCCAUAAAUCGGUUUUAAAAGAUUGGAUUUGUAAUCUUAUAAGGGUUUUAAGAAAUUACUAGAUUUUGACCCGCGCUUUCAAAGCGCGGGUAUUGUAUCCUUUUAUAUAAUAUUAUAUGAAAAUAUGUAUGUUUGGGUUGUAUUUAUAGGAGAUUAUAUUUCUUAAUGUGUUAUGUUAAAUCGAGUACCACAAUUGAGAAAAUUGUCUAAGUUUUUAACAUAAUGAUAAUAUAUCGAUCUACUUUAAUAGUAUAGAUGAUUUCUUAUUUAUUAACUUCAAAGUCAAGGUAAACUAUAAUUUCUAUUCCUUUGGAAUUAUAAAUUAUAUAUAAAUUAUUUUGAACACAUUAUAAUAUUUAUAUUAAGGUAAAGUUUAACUUGGGAAUAUAGUAUGAUCAAUAUUAUUUUGAGGUUCCAUGUUGGAUCUGUUCAAAAUAUGACACAAAUCAAUAAAAUAAUAAUAUAAUAUUUUGUUUGAAAAAUGUAACGGAACUUUUUUUUUGUUGACAAAUUUAUUAACCCGUCAGUUUGUUCACUAAUAUAUUUAGUCAUGAGCGUUCGGUUGUAGUUUUUGGUUUUUUCGGUUUAAGGGAUAUAGAAAACAUUCAAUUAUUUAUGAAUUUAGGUUUCGUUAAGGUUUGAUUAUUUUUUUUAUUUUGGUUUGAUCUGGAUAAUAAUGUUAGCAACCCAAUAAAAUUUUGAAUUCAAUUUGGCUCUAUUUUGGUUCAUGUUUUCGGAUAAUUUUGAAUAAUUCGAUUACAAACUAUAUUUUAUAAUUUUUUUGAAUAAAAAUAGAUAAAUUUAAAUAUUUUAAAAAUAUUUGAGUAAUUCAGUUCUAUAGGAAAAUUAGAUGAAUAUGUAUCUUACAUAGUAAUACUUCUUAUCUUUUAUAAACCUAUCUAUAUUUAAAUUGAUUUUAAUAAUGAAAUAAUAUUUUUUUGUAUAGUCUACGUUUGUAAACUAUUUAAGAAUGAAAUUCCAAAAGACAGAUUUAUUUUAUAAAGGUUAUUAACGAAUUAAUGCUAUUAGUUUUAUAAGUUUUUUAAAUCCCAACUAUACAAAUGUAAGGAACAAAAUAUAUUUAUAUUAAUAAGCUAUAGACAUAUAAUUUGUGUUUCUUUUUACUAAAUUAUGAUAUUCUUAUAGAACAUGUUAAUUUAAUAUUAUUGAUUUAAAUAUAUUUUUAUAUCAUCUGUGAAAUCUCAAGUUGAUAAUUGUAUUGUUUAAGCCCAUAUUUUACUUUAUUUUAUUCAAAAUUGUGAGACUGUGAUGUUUUACUACAAUUGAAAUAUUCGUGGCCAAAGCCCAAUCGAAAAAAGCAACAAAUGUUUAUUUUUCUCUAUCUCUUUGGCUACGAAAAAUUCAAGAAAAAAGCACAAUAAAAAUUCACCUCCUCCAAAUCGAAACAGGUUGGAUCUGUUUUCUUUGUUUCUUCUUCAUAAACCACGAGUUUGAUGAUCUGAAUCAUUUAAUUGAAACCACAUCGAGAGAUAUAACCGAACAUUUUCUUUUGGUAUCAGAUUUGCAUGUGGUGUCGAUAACUUUCGAAAAUUUAAUCCGAUGAGAUUCUGAUUGUCUUGCUAUGGCGGUGACAUGAUUCGAUUAGCUUAUCAACCACUAAGAUUAAAGUACUUCCUUAUCUUUCUUUUGUAUGUCUCCUUAGCCCGUUUAUUACCUUGAUCCUGAUCUCUAACUCUUAUUCCCAAACAGAAAUCAUUGAGUUUAUUAAUAUUGUCUACUCUAGGAUCAUAUUAAAACAAAGCGAGGUAUAUUUCAUUCAACUACUCACGACGUCUUUCAUAUAUCUAUUUACUAAAGCGAGGUAUAUUUGACUCAUAUAAUAUUUAACUACCCAAUUCGAUUUUUGUUUCAGUAAGAUGUGUGUGUUUUUGGUGCAAUCAGUAAGAUGUGUUGUGUUCUUACUUCUUAUGGAUGUGUCCAAGUUGUUUACAUAUGAUAACAGAGGAUCCUCCUCAUAGCUGAAGUUACAAAAAGAGAAGAAGAUAUUUUUUCACUAAAGCUAAGUAUUCUUUUUUUUUUUUUUUUUGAAACACUACUAAAGCUAAGUAUUCUAUCCAGAAAAUAUAUUAUGUUUCUUAUUGUGGAAUUAUUUUUUCAGACAAUUUAGGCUCUACAAUAAAAAUUCAGAAGCUAAUUUAGAUGUAUUUACAUGUAAUUUACUAAUUUAGGCUCUAAUAAUUCAAAAGAUAAUUUUAAUUUAUAUAAAUAAAAUACAACAAAGUCUGUUAAGAUAAGUUGAUCUCAAGUCUAUCUUUAUAAAGUUUGCAUAAUAUAUUGUUCAAUGAACCUUGUAAAAUAAUGAUUUGUUCUUCACUGGCCAUAUGUUUAUGUUCGUAAAACUACUAAAAGACAACUUCAAACAAACAUUUUUUCUUGUUUAGUAAAACAGGAUCACCAUACCUUUCCAGACACUAUUCAGUACUGGUUCUGUUUUAAGAAGAAGCUCUUUUCAACUAACAACUGAGAAAAUAAUCUUAACAGGUACUCAUAAGCUCUCCUUUUGUUAUUUUUUUUGUGUGCUUAUGUUGUAAUUAGUGUAUAUGAAUAGUAGCUGUUUUGAUUUUACUAUUGAAUAUAAUGUUAUGGAUAUACAAUAUUAUUUUACAUUUUAGCAGAAUGAUAUUUAAAUUGAGCUUUCUAACUAAACUUACUUUAUGCCUCCAAGUGUGAAUUUUAUUUUCUUUCUUUCUUUUCUACUACAUUGGAGGGUUUGUAGCUCUCCAAUAAAUAUUGCUUGCCCCACAACAUCUACAUAAAACGCAACAUCUACAUAAGUCAAUAUUCAGUCAAACAAAAUUCAAACAAUCACGAUUUUCUUAAGAAACUUUUUAAACUUAUCAAUCAAGAAACUUGUGUUUAGCCUUCCAUUUAAAAUAGUUUCAAACUCCAUAAAAGAAAGAAACAUAUCGGUCACUACUGAAUUCAUAUGGAGUAAUUAUGGUGAGGUCUAUAAAACCCAUUUUAUAAACAGUGAGCGGUAGGUCGGUAUUCACCAGUGCUGAAAUUAAGUAAAACAUUUCAAGGUUUUUCUAAUCACCCAUACGGCAGUCCUCCCCAAACUAACCAAAUAGUUUUUCUUGUUGCAUGAAUUUUAAUACACUGUAACAAAGAUAUGAAUAAUUAAUAAGUCAUGACAGACGCAUGAAAUAUCAAAUAUUUCUUGACUAAAUUAGCUUAUAAUCGUUUACCUUGUCAUAUAAAAUGAUUCUGAUGUGUCACCAAAUUGUUUAUUGAAUUGUUUAAAUGUGCAUGUGAACAGCUUUCACGUGGAUCCACCAAUUCGUUUUGCUAGGUUUCACUUCGGAGAGGUAUGAUAACUUCUCUGUAAGCUUCAUGUUUUCUAUGUAGCUAUUGGUAUUUUGUGUUAGCUGCCACCUCUGCCAAUUACGGUGUAUAUAGCACUGGAAAAUAAUGUUAAACAGGUCACGGGGAUAUUCAAUAAUAUUUUCCUAGCGAAUCGGGUUUAGAAACUAACUAAUAUAGAAAAUUAAAAAUAUAAUUUAGGAUAUUGCAUUUCUUAAUUUGUAACUGAAUGGAAAGCAUAUAGCGUAGAGCAUCAUUUAUUAGUUUUUAAUGCAAAAUUAUAUGUAUAUUUUGAUUGGUAUCUCUGGAAAGAUACCUUUUUGUGCGUCGGUUGUCUAACAAAAUUAAAGCUCAGUAAUAUUAUUUGCUGAUCUUGUUAAUAUAUUGAGCCUGAAUAGGGAUUUAGAAAUCAAAUGGAAAUCUAGUGGAUAAUCUUUACAGUUAUGAAAGAUCCAUACUUCGAAGUUCGAAUGAUCCAUAUAUUCCAUAUUCCGAAAUGUAAAAUAUUGUUCGUGAGAAAGAUAUGCAAUUUGUGUGGUGAUUAGUUAUCUUAAAUAUGAUAAGUUCAUACUUAUAAAUAAAACAUUUAUUUGAUACAUAUAAUGAUUGUAUAUGUAACGACUGACCGUUUUUAUAUUUUAUGGUAUAAGGUUUUGUCAUGAUUGGUAAUUUGGUAUUGGAUAUGUUACAAAGGUCAAAGGGAGAGUUUAAAUUAAAUACAGAAAUUUUUCUUCAUAAAAUUUUUGUAAAGCUUUGAUUAUAGGACUUAAUUAAAGGUCAAAAGUUUUAGUUUAAACUGAAUAUAAUUUCUGAAGCAAUACUACAUAAACGUUACGUAAAUUUGAGAAACUAAAAUCAUCUUGAAGUGUUUAAUCUCUUGAAUAUUCGAGGAGCUAAACCUCACUUUUAUUAAACGUAGGUGGAACUUUAAUUAAUUACACGUAAAGGGAAAAGAAACUAAAGUCAUUUGUGGAAUUAAAAGGCAUUUCGUGUUAAUAUAUCACUAAAUAAAAAACAUAGACUUAAAAUAUUCCAGUGGCAAAGAUCUGUAAAUACUUCAAAACUUUAAGGUGGUCUCAAAAAAGGCACUUCAGUUUUAAUAGUAUUGAUAAACAAAGCAACGUUUAGGUAAAAUACAACAGAUUUGGUGGUUCAAAAGAUAUAAUCAUUACUUCAAAAUAAUAAGUUUGCUUGAAAUAAAAAGAAAAUUGGUGGCCUAAAUCCUUCACUUAGCUGGUUUGUCUUCUGGACCAAAUAUAUAGUGUCAUCACUAUUCAUAUUAUAUCCAUGAACCGUGAUUUGAGUGUAAUAUAGACGAAAAUAAAACAGAUUAAAAUUUUUGUACUACUAUACACAAACUCAACAAUAGAUCCUGCUCGGUCCCACACAAAUAUUAAAAAAUGGUGUGAUUGCUAUAAUGUCACCAAUUUAAAAAACUAAUGUUAUUAUUAAAUUAAUCUGUCCAGAUAUAUUGAACGGGAGCCUCAUAUUAUUGCACAGACAAGUAGGGAGUUGUAUAGUCUUCAUUUUCACCCUAAAUUCAAUUACUUUCAUAAUAUGUAACAUAAAAUCUAAAUCCACGUAAUGGAGGAUUUGAUUUUAGUUUUCUUUUAAAUGGAUAUAAUCCUUCUUACGCCAAAGUAAUGGUAUUGACCCUUUGGACAGUGAUAGGCAAUUUAAUAUAUGUGAGGCUUGCAAUGUGCAAAUUUCUUUUUUUUUUUUUUUUUUUUUUGAAUUGAAUAUUAAAUUGAAUUCAAAAGAAAAAGACCUUUUUACAUCAUGUGUCCUUUCCUAAACUUUUGUGUUAACUUCUAUCCCUUUCCUAUAUCAACUUCACAAAUUUUUCAAAAAUUAUAAAACUUCUAUCUUGUAGCAAACCAAUACUGCAUCCCUUCUCCCAUCUUGAUAUCACCUCUUCUUUGUAUAAUGGUAAGCUUGUUCCUCAUGUUUUUAUCCAGCAACUUUGCUAAGAGUAUCGAUGGAGUUGCAGCCUCUCCAUGACGUCUCCUAUUCCUCUCUCUCCAUAUCAUAUACACUGCUGCUUGAAACAUAUAUUUUAUAAGGAACAACUGCAUCUUCCCCCUUGUCAAAUCUCUCAUUAUCCUCAAUAAGCCUUCCCAUCUCACUGUGUAUGCACCUCGCAAAAUACCUUUCAGCAACAUUCCCCAAACCUGAGCAGAGUAAGCACACUCAAAAAAUAGAUGCUCCAAGGUUUCCAGAGGCUCAUUACACAGCACACAUGAUAUAUUGACGUUUCCACCCCACUGCCUCAUUCUGUCUCCAGUUGGGAGUCGUCCUUUUAAUGCAGUCCACAAAAUAAAGGAGUAUUUUGGAGUCGCAUAUUUAAACCAAACUGCUUCAUGCCAGUGACACAGUUGGUGUUUUUCCCUGAUAACCUCCCAUGUUUCCCUCGAUGAAAAGGAUCUCUUAUAGCUCCCCUUUCCAUUUACCCACAACGAGACGUCUUCCUCAUGCACUCUGCCAGCUCUGCUCACUUCAAUCUCCAACUCAACCUUAUUAAGAAUCACCACUCUAUGCUCUCUUCGGCGAUGCGUCCAACUUUCUUCUACUGUUGCGUUUAUUGAGAUACCCAUAUCAAUGUUACUUCCUUCUCCUAGUACAUCCUUCAGACAACCCAAAGAUGACCAGCUCUCAAACCAGAAAGAUGUCCUCUUCCCAUUCUUCACAUCCACUUUAUACAUCCUUUUUGCCACAUCUCUAUACUUCAAUAGUUUUUUCCACAUCCAUGAACCAGCUUGAGUGUUCUCUUUAACCGUCCACAACGAGCCUUUACGGAUGAGAUAUAUUUUCACCCAAUUUACCCACAGCGACUCUGCAGACAGAAUCCUCCAAAGUAACUUCAAACAACUUACCAAGUUAACAUCCUUCAGCUUCCUUAACCCCAAUCCUCCCUCUUGUUUCGUUCUACUGACCUCAGACCAAGAGACCUUCGCCUUUUUAUUGUUCAAGCCUGGACCGGACCAAAGAAAAGCAGAGCAUAGUCUUUCUAUUUCCUUCAAACAACUGCUAGGAAGCUUGAACGCAGCCAUCCAGAAAUUUGCCAAGCUUGUGAUGACUGACUGUAUCAGUUGCAGGCGUCCAGCAUAAGACAAGAACCUCCCUGUCCAGGAGCCAAUUCUUUUCCUUAUCUUCUCUAUCAGUGGCAAAUAAUCCAGCACUGUCAUAUUUUUUGUCAGCAGGGGAAGGCCGAGGUAACGAACCGGGAGCUUUCCUGUUGCAAACGGGAAGUGACUGCGAAUUUCCUCCUGUUUCUGAGCUGACACUCCUGCUAGGAACAGAGUAGAUUUCUCCAAGCUAAUUUUCAAUCCAGUCAUCCUGUCGAAUGUAUCAAAGACUUUUAAAAUCUCUUCCACUGACCUUUUGCUUCCAUCCGUAAAUACCAUCAAAUCAUCUGCAAAACAUAGAUGUGUUAAGUCUAUGUUUUUGCAUUUUGGAUGGUAUCCUAUCCUCCCUUUCUUCACUGCUUCAUCCAACAUUUUAGACAGAACAUUCAUACAGACCACAAACAAAUAUGGCGAUAGCGAACAACCCUGUCUUAAUCCCCUUUUGCUUUGGAAAUAUCCAGCCAGUUCCCCGUUAAUCUGAACUGAAAAUGAGGCCGUAGUUAUGCAUAGAGAUAUCCAGUGAAUAAACCUUUCAGGAAGACCAAGAGCUCUCAGAGUAGUAAGGAGAAAGGGCCACUGCACCGAGUCGAAAGCUUUGGAGAUGUCUAUCAUCAUCGCGCAUCUUGGUGAUAUCUCUUCUUUGUGAUAAUCCUUCACUAUUUCUGUUGCAAGAAGCACAUUUUCCAUUAACAACCUCUCCUUUAUAAAAGCUGAUUGGUUCCAAGAGAUACACUUGGGUAGUAUACUCUUUAACCUAUUUGCCAAAAUCUUCGAAAUCAGCUUGUAUAAGACGUUGCAACAGGAUAUAGGCCUGUAAUCCUUCAUCCCUUUUGCUUCUGUCUUCUUUGGGACCAGUGUUAAGAUUGUAGAAUUGAGCCCUUUCGGUAAGAAUCCCAUAAUGAAGAAGGACUGAACUGCCACUGUAAUAUCCUUGCCUAUCACUGCCCAAGACUCUUUGAAAAAUUCUGUGGUGAAUCCAUCAGGCCCCGGAGCCUUACUCCCUGGCAUUUUGAAUAAUACCCUCUUGAUCUCUUCCUGAGUUACUUCCUUCACCAAGUUAUUCUUAUCUGCAUCACUACACUCAAAAUCCAAUAAUUCUCGAAGUCUCUCCUCUGUCACUCCCUCAAAAUCUUGUGGUUGGGUAGUCAUGAAGUCUUCAAAGAAACGCUCAGCUUCUUUUUUAAUCUCUUCCUCCGUUUUUACUAUACUCCCAUCAGCACACUGGAUCUCAUAGAUUGUAUUACGAAUCUCUCUUACUCUUGCUGCAUUGUGAAAAGCAAAUUUCUUUUUGAACAACACACGAUUAUAUUAAUCUAAUAUUUACAACCGUCCCGCCCUGCACCGCAGUUAACAGUAACAAAAAUCUCUACAUAUACUAUAUAUUUAUACGUUUUUAUAACUGUUAAAAUCGCAUCGCAGUUGAACCGCUUGUUCUGCACCGCUCAAACCGCAAUUACCAUUAGGAGCCUAAACAUCGAGAAAAGUUAAAAAAAUACAAUAAGAAGUAAACUGAAUGGCAAAUGAUAUAUGAAAACUAUUACAAUGAAAAUAGAGAUGGAUAUGUACAAGGGACGAAGAAACUCAAAAAUGCACUUCAGUUGAGAUUCGAAAACAGGAACAAAUGAUAGUCAAUAAAAUAACGUUGAUAGACCUAUAUAAAAAGUUAGAAUGUUGACCAGCAAAUUUUUUUUGGUAAAAAGUUCUAUAACCAUUGAUAAUAUAAGAAAUAAAAAAACAAAAUCGACUUGAUUUGAAACUGAAUAACAAACAUGGUGUACAAGAGGCUAAACAUCCUACCUUGGGGCACAAAUUUUUUUUUUAUGAUUAAGAUCAUUUCCAGGUGGUUCAUUCUAUUUUUUUUAAUAGACUAAUUUUAUAAUAGAGUUAAUUUUUACUCUAACGGUAAAGUAAAAAAUAAAACAAUGAACAAAAAAUAAAUAAAUAAAUUAUUCUAUUUAUAUAGUAAAUUCACUUUUUAUUAUAUUAUAAAGUGAAAAAUAUAAUAGGUUUGAAACAAUUUACUAUAACUCUAUUUUGUUGAUGUCUUGCACCCAAAAAAAACAUGUUGAAUUAACAUCAUUGAUUAUAUGAUUGCGUUAUUUUUUAUUCUAUGUUUACUAUUAGAAGAUUUAUAAUCAAAAUUUAAAUUAAUUUGUAGAGCAAGCAGACUGCCUUAUAGGCUUAUACGACUGGAAAUUUAAGACAUUUAUAAUAGCUAUUGAAAUCUCAAUGGGAAGACCUUUUUUAUGUAACAACUCAAUGGAAAGACUUCAACCACUAAAAACCAUAAUACGUUGUUGAUCAUACUGUAUUUUUAAUUGAAUUUGGCAACAAAAUCUAAGCAUAUUGUGUUAACGAACAAAAUUUAUCAGUCAAUUUUUGCUUUAUCAUCUAUAUGGAAUACAUCGAUUUUUUUUUAAAGGCUGACCAUAUAUACAUCGAACUUGAACUGUGAAACCUUUGAAACACGAGUAUAUUCAACCAUUAAACUACGAAGAUAUUAGAAUUUGCAAUGAUACAUUGUAAACAAUAGUUAUAAAGAUGAGAUCAUACUUUAGGCUUCAUUAGAAAAUAUAAAGUUAGACUAAUUGUUAAUAUACUUUAGGCUUAGAUAUCCUAAUUAAAAAAAUACUCCAUCCGUUUCAUAAAGUUACAUGUUUAAAAAAAAUUAUGUUUCAAAAAGAUAUAUUUUGUAUUUUCAAUACAUAUUUUAUCAACUAAUAAUGAUUAAUUGCAAAUUUCAAAAAAUCUAAUUGUACUUUUUGAAUAAGAUUAUCAUGAUUAUAUAUUUAUAUAUAUUGGACAUAUAUAUAAUAUUUUAAAAAAGGAUUCUAAAAUGAAUAGCACGAGUAACUAUUUACUAAAGUAUGCGAUUACAAACAAACUAUUUUGGAAAUUUUUAACAGCUAAAAUACUGUACAUUUUUAUUAUAUUUUAACAUUCAACCAUAUUUCAGAUGAUUCAGUAUCUACAUCAUCUGAUUCUUCGGCCAUGCUUGAUUGGCCGUUCUAUUGUAAAGUCACUAACUAUCAAUACUUUGUUUUUAUCUCAAGUUGGAUACAUUUAUUGUAUGAAUCUACAAAAAAAAUUAUAUCAAUAGUUUAAAAUCAUGUUAGUUUUCCAAUGUCAGAUCUCAUCGCAUAUUUAGGUACUCAAAUGUCCACGCAUUAAUUUUAAGUUCAUCCAAAACAAUACACACAUAGAAAAAGGUGAAAAUAAAUUACGUAAAUAUCAAUUCAUGGAUUUCUAAUUAGAGAUUAAUUAACUACAUAAACUAAAGUCACUAUUUGUUAUUUUUUUUAUAUAAUAUUUUUUUUGUCAAUGAAAUUUUAUAGAACGGGUGAAUUUUUCAUAUAAGAUGUUAAUUUAAUUUAUUUACAUGAUAAAACAUCUAAUUUAUGAAAUCGAGUUCCAAAAACCCAAAUUAUAAACGUGAAGUCCUAAACUAUAAUAAUCUGUAUAAAUUAGAUGUGAAAUUUUCCAAAAUCAUCUAAAAUUGUCCAACUAAUAUUUGUUUUAUCUUUAUUUCUAAAUACCACUCAACUUCUUAACACAUUGAAUACAUUUUUAAUUCUUUUUCGAGAUUUCUUGAUAGUGUAUUAAAAUACAAAAAGCAAAUUACCAGAUCAGGUAACCUGUUGCUCGAUAUUGUGGAUAUGCGUUUCGUCGCCCAAAUCUAACAAUAAUAAAAGGAGAAUAUCCUCAACAGAGAAGCAUGCCACGUCGUUUAAUUAAAUCGACCAGUAAAAAUGUUUCUAUGUGCCAGGUCAGCUCUUCCAAAACUGCAAUUUGCAACUCGAAAAUAACCUAAAGUGGAAUUCUACUGUUGGGCUCACUUGCUAAGCCCACUAAACAGAAACCCUUAACAUCUCAUCCAAUAGCCGUCCAACAAUCUCUCCAUCCUCUUCGUCUUCUCCGUUUUCUCUACUUGCGAUCUCCCUUACUGAUUUCUCUGCUAUCAAUCAAUCGUUCUCUUUAAUACACUCUUCAUUCUUCAUGUCUUUCGUUUCACCUCCCUCUCUAUCUCCUUAUUUUAUAAACUACUUCGCCUUCCAGUCAAAACCGAAGAGCUCCUCUUUUUUUUUUUGUGAUCAACUUUCCAGGCUACGACCGAAGAGCUCCUCUCAAUAAGCCGAAUCCAUGGCGAUGAACCCAGCGAAGAAACAUGUCUCCAUCUCACCAGGGCUAUACGGUUCCGAGCUACACCUCCGACUGUUACAUUUCUUGAAGUGAGGAACAAAAUACGAGAACUAAAGGUUGCAAACAGAAAGGAAAUUCGAAGCAAACAUCAAAUAAUUAGCAAGAAGAGAGGAACAAAUGUAUCGACAGCACUGGCGGUGAGUAUUCAUGAAGGGAUUAGUCGUACCAGAGAGACGUGGAACGAAAUACUAAAAAAGGUCCAAGUCCAACCAAUAAUCAAGGUAAAGCUGUGUGGAAUCAAACGAAAGGGUCAAUAAACUGCUAUAUUUAUAUUAACUGUAGGGAUUGAUAUGUUUGAAAGCUGAGCUGAUUCAUGUCUCUGUAGAGAUUGAUAUGUUUGAAAGAUGUAUCUUCGGGGAUUGCUGAUUGCACAUCUAAGGUUUCAUGAGUGAAGAUUCCAGAGUUGUUUAGAUGCGUAAACCACACCAUGUUUAUAUAUUUUUUUACAGAUUAUCUUGGUAACUCAUCCAAAGACUGGAGAUUCCCUAAAGUACAUCUACGGUUUAUACGUUGAAUAUGUGGUGAAAAAUCCUAUCUACAAUCUAGGAUCUCCAAUCAAGUAAGCUUCAAUGAAUAACGCUCUUUUUAUUGCAUCAAGCAGCAAACCGUAUUUGUUCUGACUAUGUUUUCAUUGGGUCAGAGUUGUUCAACACUGCACUUGACCAAUAUGUGACGAGUAUCUCAUAGUGUUGUGCAUUACAAGAUUUGGCAAUUGGAACUUCUCUGACUGCUUCACAGAACUUUUGUCUUGAACAAAUUCUAUGGAGAAGAGAGAAUUGUAGUAGAAAGAUCAAUCUCGUGUCAAGCCUGUUUUUCUCUGCGAAUGUAUUUUUCGCUUAAUAUGAUAAGUACUUAUAGAAGCGUAAUUAAGAUGCUUUUGUAAAAAAAAAGCUGUCAUCUAAGUUAGUUGGUUUAAUUCUGAGAGGCUUAGUGCUUAUUUUUUACAAGAGUUGGGAGAAAGCCAUGGAUUUCCGUAGUCUAGAUCAAUGUUUGAUAUCCAUUGACCGAGUAAGUUGUAGGCCAUGAUUUUGGAGAAGCAGCAGUUGGACGUGAUUCUCCGGAGGAUUUUGAUGAAAGCAUUUAUGUGAUACAUCUACACUUUAUUGUUGAAAAAAAAAAUCUAUACUUGGUUAUGAUUCGGAAUUUAACAAAGAAAACAUGAAAAAAAUAGUUUGAUAUGAUAAUUCUUUGGAAAAACAACAAAAAUUUCAACUACCAAACAAUAUUAUAUCGUAAAGAAUUUAGGAAUUUCAAAGAAACAUAUUUAGGCAAAUAAAAAAAGCAGAAUAAAAAUAAAGUAACAAGGAAAAAAUAUACAGAAAAUAACCUUGAUAUAUAUGCUAAUUUUUGGAAAAUUAACAUAAAAUAUAUUAGCUAACGUUAUAUCUAAAACUUUGUCAAAACAUACAGAUUGGCACAUCCUCAUACAAACUGAUAAUGGAUUACACAAGUUUGGUAUUAGUAAGACUACAAAAAAAACGUAAUCUAAUUUACAAUAAUAUAAUUCUUUAACAUCUUAUAAUUUAUUAAGGAUAACUUUCUAAAAAAAAAUUGAAUGAAUGCAAAUUACAUCGUAUCUGUUGGGAGUCUUUUAGAUACAUAUAUGUAUCUAAUAAAUAUAACAUAAUCAAACAUGAUGAGUAUUGACUAAAGCCCUGUUCGCGGCAGCAGCGUCAAUGAGGACAGUUGUUGUUCGUUUCGCAGACGCUGACGCUGCCGCUGACGCUGCCGCAUAUCAUAUCGCGACCGCAGGUUUUAUCGGCGUCAGCCGCAGGACGCAGUGUUCAGACGCUGCCGCUGCCGCCGGUUCCUACGUCAACGAAACGAACAAGAGUUGACGCAGAAUGUUGACGCUGCCGCUGCCGCCGGUACCUGCGACAACCAAACGAACAGCCCUUAAAUACAAAAAAAAACAAUAUACAUGAAUAAAAUUAUUCAAAAUAGUGUAACAGUAGAUUAUAUGCAUCAUACGAUCUAUAUAAUAUUUAAAAAUAUAAUAUUAUUUUUAUAAACUAUAAAUAUAUUUUAGCGAAGAAACAAAUUGUCAAAAAAAAUUACUUAAGCAAAAAUAAAUAAUUUUCAAACUUUUUUUUUUAAUUUUUUUUUAAUUUUCAAACUUUGGUUCUAGCAUCAAACUUCUGUUCACUUUAAUUUACUAUAUUGUGUAAAUAUUGAAAGAAGCUAUUAAAUACUUCUACAAAAUUUUAGGGUUCAUAUAAAAAACUUAAAAACAAAAUAAAUGAAUAAAAGAAAUAACAUAAAAUAAUAAACUAAUCAGUUUCUAUAUAAAUAUUAUUAAUAAUAUUACUUCAUAGUAAUGCAACCAGAGUAACUUUCAGAGUCAGCAACAAAUGCCAAUGCUUGAUUACACCAGUAAACAAAAAUCUGACGAUAAAAAGGUUCUAAAUUACUACUAUGUCUCAUAUUAUAUGAUCUGUUGGUCAUAAAACUAAUCAAUAUUUAUUUAAAUAUUACUACUAAUAUACAUUUAAAAUGAGUUAACCAAUAAAAUAGUAUUAUUAGUUAACAAAAAUUUGAAGAAAGUUAAAAAUAUCAAAACAUCUUACAUUUUCAACCUUCAAAGUUUCUCUAGAAAAUUUUACAUUAUGAAACUGAAAGAGAGAUAAUUAAAAUUUAUUAACAAAACAAAAAAAAGUAAGCUAUUAGGUUAAAGGAACCUUUUAAAUAAAAAAAGAUAAAAAGUUUUAUAAAGUAACAAAAAUUGAAACACUUGGAAAAAGAUCUAUGUAAAAUAAAAUGGCAGAAAAAGCAUGUAAAAAUAGUUUUUAACUCUAAAUAUUUUUUUGUCCAUGUGGAUGUGGAGUUACCCGAUUGGUUUGUAGAAUAUAAUGAAUUUUUUUAAGUUGCUGACAAAAAAAUAAUAAUUUAUCAGUUAAAUAAAAAAAAUACACAAUAUUAAGUAAUUAAAUUUUAUUUUGAAGUUAAUGAAAACAGAUAGAAUAGAUAAUGAUGAUUUUCUUUUCAUCACUGCAUUAUUAGACUAACGUUCUUAAAUAUAUACAAUUUGCGCAUGUGUUACAAAAUAUUUAGAUUCCAACUCACAUUGGAAAACAUAAAGAUAAUUUUUUUCCUAAUCAUAAGUAGAGAAAUUGUUUAAACUACCAGUUUUGGGUAUAAUUUUCAAGUUUAUUUUAACCACAUUUAGCUUUAAUUUUAAAGGGAUAAAUAGACAUUUAUGUCCAUAGGAUUAACUAAUAUAAAAUUUAAGUUUAGAUUUGAGAGAAGUUUUGGAGGGUGGAGUUUAGAAUUUUUAAAAAUAAAUACACAAAUACUAAAAUUUAAAAUUUAAUUUCUUAAAAUUUUAUUAAAAUAAUAAAAAAAAUUAAAAACAAACUUCAAAAACAUAUUUUGAAAAAAAUAUUUUGAAUAUAAAAAUUUAUAAUUCAAAAUUAUAAAAAAAUAAUAAUAAAAAAUAUUUAUUUAAAUAGUAAUUUAUAUUUAUGUAUCUAUAAAACAAGGAUAUAACUGUCUUUUACCUCUUUAACGAAGAAAGUAUUUUGAAAAUGUAAACAUGAAUAAUAUUAUAAACAAUGUGGUAAACUUUAAAUUCUCCCUCAUAAAUACUACAUUUAGCAAUUCUAUGAAAUUUAUGUAUUUUUAUUAUCUUAGUUUGUAUCAUUCCGAAAGUUGAAAGAUAUUUAAGAUUUAAUAAUAUUUUCAAGUUUAAAAUAUAGUAAUUAGCUAAAAUAUUAUAGAAAGUAAGAACAAAAAAAUAUUUACUUUGUUUUCAUUUGGAUUAUGAAACUAAUAUUCAAAACAUAUUUAAUUUGCUAAGCGUAUAUACCUAAAUAAAAUACAUGUAGUAAUAUGGUGAUAGCUCACAACUAGGAAUGGCUACAAGAGUCGCUAAAACCAUUCUGGAAAUCCUUUUGCAUUUGUAGCAAAUUUUAUAGUAAACUUUGAUGCAUAAGAAUUUUUAUAGUCCCUCAGUAAUCCAAUCUCAAACGAAUUGUUCUGACUUUAAUAUCUUAUGGUUGCUUUCUAAGAAGCAAGCUUAGAAGUUAACGCAAAUAGGUUGUUCUUAAGCUCUUGGAUGAUUCACUUUUGACAUAACACAAAUUCAGUGUGGGCACUAAUCGUCAAGAUGUGGAUUGUAACCAAGAAUUUAUGUUCAAUCAGGUGCAAUUCAUAAGUAAUCAGAGAUAAAGUUUUCAUGGUGACAAAUACAUCACUUAAAUAAAAAAUUAAAAAAAUACAAACUUAGCAGUCUGAUGCAUACUGACUAAUAAUUCUUAUUUGCAUAAAAAAGAAGCUGAAAUAGUAGGAGUUUACCUUAUAGCAGGACACUCGCCCGUUGACAACUCUUUAUUAGGUUACUAAUCGGUGACUUGCUUCGUCCACUGGAAUAUGAUCCAGGAUUAAUUCCUGAGACAUCGAUCAGAUCAGAGAUCUUAGGAGUACAUGCCAGGGGGAGAAGGAAUUCUACGACUGAUUGAGCCAACAAAUCCUAGCUAGAAAACUAUUAUUUGCUUCAUUAUCAAUCACACAGUUUUACUUUGACACAACAAUAAGAACAUCAAAAACUUCAAAGGAAAAGUAAGAGUAAAAGUUUAAUACAUGAUUUAGGGCUAAACUUCCAAUGUAUAACUCAUAAGAUUAUGAUAAAGAAAACAUAAUUAAGAAUAACUUUCUGACAUUUUGAGAACUGUUUAUGUAUUCUAAAUUAAGUUUUGAUAUUAUGGCCACUAACAAAAAAAAGUAUUUCAAAAAUUGUGACGAAAAAACAUAAAUAUCUCUUUUCUUAUACUAUAUCCUAAACGCUAAAUAAUUUAUAAACACAAAUUUUUUUACAAUAUUUAAUAUUCAUAUAACAAAAUCAGUGGAAAUAUAUAAUAGCAACUAUCCGCGCGUAGCGCGGAAAAGGGUCUAGUUCAUAUAAAGUCAAAGAAAAAACAAUCAAUUAUUUAAAAAAAAAAACAACCCAUUUGCUCUUUUCAGGCGGAUAUCAUAUUGUAGUACAAAAUAAAAAUUUAAAUAUCCAAAAAUAUUAUUACCUAGGUCCUAAACCAAUACUCUGCACGAACGUUGUGAAGCCGCGUCGAGUCAAGAAACCACUAUAAAGAGUUCACUCAGCCACAUUCACAUAACAAAACAAAAGCAUAUACCUACUCCAGAAAAUAAAAGUAAAGUUCUAAAGUUGUCUCCACGUAAUUCUCUGCUAAGGUACUGUUCUGGGCUUUUGUUUCUUAUCCAAUUUAUAUUCUUUCAAAACUACUUCGCUUUCUUGUUUUUUUCAUAUCAAGAACAAUAAAUUUUAAUGGUCCGAGUGUUCUUGAAAACACUAAUUAAUAAGUAAACGUUUUUGUGAUUUCCACAGGCAAAUGGAAGAUUCAAGCUUCACGGAUUUGAUGAUCGACACUGAUGAGUAUUUCGUUGAUGAUUGGGAACAAGAUUUCCCGGUGAUACCCGGAGACACUACUGAUCAUCAGAGCACAAAACCGGGUUCUGGAUCCGAAUCCGGAUCCGGGUUCAGUUUGAUUUCCGAGAACAGACCAACAAAGCAAAUGAAAGUCAACUCAACUUCUUCCUCUUCUCCAUCAUCAUCUUCUUCUUCUUGUGAUUCUCUCACAGCAGCACAAGUGAUCUCGUUCGGUUCUCAAGACCCGAACAUGAACGUGGUCGAGGCAUCGUUUAACUUCUCUAACCAAGCAAACAUUGAACCGAACGUGAGGUCCAAAAGAAAAGAGUGUGGUAAUAAUGGAGGAAAAAGAGAGCCACAUCUACUGAAAGAACAUGUUUUGGCUGAACGUAAACGCAGACAAAAGCUCAACGAACGUUUGAUUGCUCUCUCUGCUCUUCUUCCUGGCCUCAAAAAGGUCAGAGAAUCUAGCAACCAUUUCUUUGUUCCAUUUAAUAUUAUUUUUUAAAUAUUAACUUUAAGCAAAGUUAAUUUAUUAUACAAAAAGUUGAUUUAUAAUUAUUAAAAAUAUCUUAUUCUGCUUCCGUUUCUAUUUUUUUCUCGAAAAUAAAAAGAACUAUAUUAUAAAAACUUACCUAUAUAAUAGAGUUUCUCUAUUUGAAAAAAAAUAUAUAUAGAAAAGAGUUGGAUGAUCUUGUGAUUGUAAAAACUUGUGAAAAUAAUGCAUUUUAUAGUUGGUAAAAAUUGCAUUCUAUUUAAGUUCAAAUAAAAAAAUUGACAUCUAUUUCCUUUCAAAAUUUAGUUUCAGAAAAUUGCACUGGACUUGUAAACUGCACGAUGUCCCUUAAGCCGUGAUACUAAACAAGAUUUUUAUAAACUAUUGGGUUAUGUGUAUAGGCUGACAAGGCAAGUGUUCUUGAAGACGCGAUCAAACAUUUGAAACAACUUCAAGAACGUGUCAAGAAGCUGGAGGAAGAGCGAGUGGGAACCAAGAAAAUGGAUCAAUCGGUUAUAUUGGUGAAGAGAUCUCAAGUGUAUAUGGACGAUGAUUCUUCAUCUUAUUCUUCUACUUGCUCUGCUGCUGCUUCUCCUCUGUCUUCUUCUUUAGACGAAGUUUCUAUUCUGAAACAGACCAUGCCUAUGAUCGAAGCACGAGUUUCAGACCGAGAUUUGCUGAUUCGAAUUCGUUGUGAGAAGAACAAAGGGUGUUUGGUUAAGAUCUUGAGUUCAUUGGAGAAGUUUCGUCUAGAAGUAGUCAAUAGUUUUACUUUACCCUUUGGAAACUCAACUCUCGUAAUCACCAUUCUCUCUAAGGUAAUAAUAUCUUAUAAUAUUUUGAGAUUAGCAUAUUGAUUUGUUCCAUACAUAAAUGUAAUUGUUCUUUCUUUUUCCCCUAAUAUUUUGGCAGAUGGACAACAAAUUUUCUCGGCCUAUUGAAGAUGUUGUGAAGAACAUAAGACUUGCGUUAGCGGAAUAGUAUUUUUCAUAACCAUUAUGUGAAUUUCGCAGCGACUAAAACGUGUGAUUUGAUCUCCAAAGUCAAUCAGAAUACUUGUUUUCCUUUUUUUAAUCAGUAGUUGGAUAAUAAAAGCAGAGGAAUGCAUGUGAUAUGGGAUGUGUUUGAGUGUAAUAGCUGGAUUUAGUGGGUGUGUGUGUGUGUAAUGAUGGCUGUAUCAUUGGUUUGAUUUUUUUCCAAUAUCAAUGGUUUGAAUUAAUAAUGAAGAUCCGUGAGUUUUUAAUUGGUUUUAGAGGAACAAGAAAUCUCGCUUGAUUAUGAUUUCACAACUAAGCUGUUAAGUUAAAUAAUUGAAGACUUGUCAUUAAUGACGUAACUAGAUACAUCGGUCCACGUUUGACAAAAAAAAAAGAUAGAAAAGAAAGUUGGUUGGUGGUCCAUGCCCCAUGGUUCAACGUAGGCUAUAGAUUUUUAAAUUGGUUUAGAUAUUUAAGGUAAAACUAAAUAUUAUCUUAAUUUUUACAUACAAGGUUAUUAAGUGAAUGUAUAGGAUUUUUUUUUCAUCUAGAACUUUUUUAAUUCAAUAUAGUAAAACAAUAACAUAAAAAUUGAUUGGAUACACUUUUUUUUAUUAAUUGGAUACAUCGCAUAAAAAAAAUUAAAACAAACUCUUGAAAAACACAUCUAAACCAAUAGAAAUAUGAUCGGACAUAUAAGACUUUAAGAAAAAUCAAUGGUGAAGCUCACACCGAAUUUAUGUUGGAUUUUGUCAAUAUAUUGAUAAAGAAAGAACUUUGUUCCGCGUUUUUGAACAAUCGAUAAAUCGAUUUUGCCACUCAAAUUUACUUUUAGACAGUUUUUCUAUAUCGAAUAAUAAAAUAAAAAAAUCCGAUUCAUUAUUUAAAAGAUUCAUGAUAAAAGUUUACAAUUCCUUCAGAUCCAAAACUGAAUCAUACAAUAUUAGCAUCAUUUCACGCGUCACUCGAUCAUAUCAAUUCUAAAAGAUUCAAUAUUUUUUUUAUGAAGCAUAUCUAUAUCUAUAUCAAUCUCUACUAAUAAAAGGGAGCUUUUGAGUCUCCAUAGGACGUCCACAUCAGCGGAAAAAACUUCUCCCAAAAGAUGACACGUGGCAUAAAAUAAAGUUUUACACUUUAAUAUUACUAAUUUUCGCAAAAUAUAAAUAAUAUGUAAACAUACAGCAUAAAAAAUAAAAAAACUACAUUAAACAUAUGUAAGAUUACCAUUUUUCACUUGAAAAAAAGA